CGCGUAGGCGGCCUUGUGUGUCGGAUGUGAAAUCCCUUGUUUCAAGCGAGGAACUGCAUUCGAAACUGCAAGACUUGAGUCCCGGAGAGGGAAGCGGAAUUCCUGGUGGAGAGGUGAAAUUCGUAGAGAUCAGGAGGAACACCCGUGGCGAAGGCGGCUUGCUGGGCUUUAACUGACGCUGAGGCUCGAAAGUGUGGGGAGCAAACA
rnacentral:rRNA from 1 species